rnacentral:rRNA from 1 species
GACGGAGGGUGCAAGCGUUGUUCGGAAUGACUGGGCGUAAAGGGCGCGUAGGCGGAUGGCUUUGUCGGGCGUGAAAUUCCAGGGCUUAACCUUGGGGCUGCGUUCGAGACGGGUUGUCUUGAGUGGGGAAGAGGGUCGUGGAAUUCCCAGUGUAGAGGUGAAAUUCGUAGAUAUUGGGAAGAACACCGGUGGCGAAGGCGGGUCU